GUCGAUGAAGCUCUGUGGUGGAGCGCCUGGCUCUUGGGACCGGGUGGACGCGGGUUCGAAUCCCGUCAUCGGCC
rnacentral:tRNA from 1 species